GAUAAUGCCAAUAAAACGAAAGUCUGAUCUCUUGGUGAUCGUUUAAUAAAAUUCUAUGAAACUUGGCACAUUUAGUGGAUGCAACCAAGUGAACAAUUUGGCUUGUUUAUAAUGGUUGUUAUGGCAACACACUCGUCCCCAGUCCCUUCUCUUCCAAUUUCUAUAUGAUCCAUUUCCAAGGAAAUAAAUAGCAAUUUCUGCAAUUUUCGCUUAUUACUAUCAUGCGUGUAGGUAUUGUAAUCAGUUUAAA